UACAGAGGUCCCAAGCGUUGUUCGGAUUCACUGGGCGUAAAGGGUGCGUAGGUGGUCAGGUAAGUCGGAUGUGAAAGCUCGGAGCUCAACUCCGAAAUGGCAUUGGAAACUACCUGGCUAGAGGAUUGGAGGGGGGACUGGAAUACUUGGUGUAGCAGUGAAAUGCGUAGAUAUCAAGUGGAACACCAGUGGCGAAGGCGAGUCCCUGGACAGUAACUGACGCUGAGGAGCGAAAGCGUGGGGAGCGAACAGG
rnacentral:rRNA from 1 species